GAGGGAUAUUGGUCAAUGGGCGCAAGCCUGAACCAGCGACGCCGCGUGGGUGAAGAAGGUCUUCGGAUCGUAAAGCCCUUUUCCCACUGAAGAGGAAGGACGGUAGGUGGGGAAGAAGUCUCGGCUAACUACGUGCCAGCAGCCGCGGUAAAACGUAGGAGACAAGCGUUAUCCGGAGUUACUGGGCGUAAAGGGCGUGCAGGUGGCGUCUUAAGUCUGUUGUGAAAGCGCCUGGCUUAACCGGGCGAGGCCAAUGGAGACUGAGAGGCUGGAGGACGGCGGAGGGGUGUGGAAUUCCGGGUGUAGUGGUGAAAUGCGUAGAGAUCCGGAGGAACACCAGAGGCGAAGGCGGCACUCUAAGCCGUACCUGACACUGAGACACGACAGCACGGGGAGCAAACG
rnacentral:rRNA from 1 species